UGCCAGCAGCCGCGGUAAUACGGAAGGUGCGAGCGUUAAUCGGAAUUACUGGGCGUAAAGCGCGCGUAGGUGGCUUGGUCAGUCGGGUGUGAAAGCCCCGGGCUCAACCUGGGAACUGCAUUCGAUACUGCCAGGCUCGAGUAUGAGAGAGGAGAGUGGAAUUCCAGGUGUAGCGGUGAAAUGCGUAGAGAUCUGGAGGAACAUCAGUGGCGAAGGCGGCUCUCUGGCUUAAUACUGACGCUGAGGUGCGAAAGCGUGGGGAGCAAACAGGAUUAGAUA
rnacentral:rRNA from 1 species